CCUACGGGAGGCAGCAGUGGGGAAUAUUGGACAAUGGGCGAAAGCCUGAUCCAGCAAUGCCGCGUGAGUGAUGAAGGCCUUAGGGUUGUAAAGCUCUUUUACCAGGGAUGAUAAUGACAGUACCUGGAGAAUAAGCUCCGGCUAACUCCGUGCCAGCAGCCGCGGUAAUACGGAGGGAGCUAGCGUUGUUCGGAAUUACUGGGCGUAAAGCGUACGUAGGCGGUUAUUCAAGUCAGAGGUGAAAGCCUGGAGCUCAACUCCAGAACUGCCUUUGAAACUAGAUAGCUAGAAUCUUGGAGAGGUGAGUGGAAUUCCGAGUGUAGAGGUGAAAUUCGUAGAUAUUCGGAAGAACACCAGUGGCGAAGGCGACUCACUGGACAAGUAUUGACGCUGAGGUACGAAAGCGUGGGGAGCAAACAGGAUUAGAUACCCUGGUAGUCCACGCCGUAAACGAUGAUAACUAGCUGUUCGGGCUCUACGAGCUUGAGUGGCGCAGCUAACGCAUUAAGUUAUCCGCCUGGGGAGUACGGUCGCAAGAUUAAAACUCAAAAGGAUAGUACGACGNGAGAGAGCGACGACGACGACGAGGAGGAGG
rnacentral:rRNA from 1 species